rnacentral:rRNA from 1 species
CUACGGGGGGCUCCAGUAAGGAAUAUUGCGCAAUGGAGGCAACUCUGACGCAGCCAUGCCGCGUGCAGGAAGAAGGCCUUAUGGGUCGUAAACUGCUUUUAUUUAGGAAUAAACCCCCGAACGUGUUCGGGGCUGAAGGUACUAAACGAAUAAGCACCGGCUAACUCCGUGCCAGCAGCCGCGGUAAUACGGAGGGUGCAAGCGUUAUCCGGAUUUAUUGGGUUUAAAGGGUGCGCAGGCGGGCUAAUAAGUCAGUGGUGAAAUCCCGGGGCUCAACUCCGGAACUGCCAUUGAUACUGAUAGUCUUGAGUUUGGUUGAAGUGGGCGGAAUGUAGCAUGUAGCGGUGAAAUGCAUAGAUAUGCUACAGAACACCAAUCGCGAAGGCAGCUCACUAAGCCAAAACUGACGCUCAUACACGAAAGCGUGGGGAUCAAACAGGAUUAGAUACCCUGGUAGUC